rnacentral:rRNA from 1 species
UACGGGGGGGGCAAGCGUUGUUCGGAAUUACUGGGCGUAAAGGGCUCGUAGGUGGCCAACUAAGUCAGACGUGAAAUCCCUCGGCUUAACCGGGGAACUGCGUCUGAUACUGGAUGGCUUGAGUUUGGGAGAGGGAUGCGGAAUUCCAGGUGUAGCGGUGAAAUGCGUAGAUAUCUGGAGGAACACCGGUGGCGGAGGCGGCAUCCUGGACCAACACUGACACUGAGGAGCGAAAGCGUGGGGAGCAAACAGG